ensembl:lncRNA
CUGAAAAGCAGUAACACAUGAAAUCAGUCUGCUGUUUCCUUUAUGAUUUUCCUAUUGUUACCAUCAUUGAAAGAGAAUGGGCUAGUACCCCUGGACAAAAAAAUGCUGCAAAAUCAAAACCUGCUUCAGGGAAUGUACAGGAACUAUGGAAAGAAGUCCAUCCAGCACUUGACUGAUUACUUAGAAGAAUUAUUACAGAAUUUCUACAUAGUCCUAUGUCUUAUCUCAGGGACUGUGCUAUACUUCCAUUCAAUCAGAGACACACAGUUAUCAUACAUCCGGUCUGAUCAAAGCUGCAGUCUGUGGCAUGAUUGAUAUGCAUCUGAACCAGCUUUGGAAGGAAAGUGCAAAGUCCAAAAGCUGUAGGAGCAAUAAAUGAGACAUCACACUAUCAGAAGAUGACAAUUCUUAUUUCGCUUGUUAUUCUUUCCUCAUUUUAUUCCUUGUGAAUUCAAGAAAUUACAUAUACCCCUGGUUAUAUUGGCUGCAGACAUACCACCUGCUUGAUACGAACUCUGAGAGCAAUGCAAUGAGCCCAGCAGCAUAUGUGAUGUCUAGAGAGGAUGACAUCCAUUGCACAAAGCUGCUGGUUACUGUUUCUUGUAUGCAAGGGUACAAUUAGUUGAUAUAAUUUUGAUUAUGUAAUGUUUGAUAUUUUAUAUCCUGUUUCCAUCGUUUUGGUGGGUGGAAUUUCUAGGCUGAAGUUACCUUAGCCUGGUUGAAUGAAUCUCUCUCAUUAAAAGAGGCUGUUUUUAUCACUUGCCUGCGUUAUCUAAAACGGCGAUACCUCAAGCAGGUGGAUGCACUGUUUGCCACAAGACAGAGCUCCCGACUUAUAGAUUCUAUUUAUGAAUCAUGAUAGAUCUCAGUGUAAACAUUUGUACAAAUUUUCCAAGUAAUAAAGCUAAAACUAAAAAAUG